ensembl:snRNA U6 U6 spliceosomal RNA
UUGCUUUGGUAGCACAUUACUAACACUGGAACCAUGCAGAGAAUAUUAGCAUGGCCCCUGGGCAAGGAAGACUUGCAGAUUUGUGCAGUGUCCCAUAUUUCU